rnacentral:rRNA from 1 species
CUGCCUCGGAGUGGGGAAUAACAGUUGGAAACAGCUGCUAAUACCGCAUGAUGCAGUUGGGCCGCAUGGCCCUGACUGCCAAAGAUUUAUCGCUCUGAGAUGGCCUCGCGUCUGAUUAGCUGGUUGGCGGGGUAACGGCCCACCAAGGCGACGAUCAGUAGCCGGACUGAGAGGUUGGCCGGCCACAUUGGGACUGAGACACGGCCCAGACUCCUACGGGAGGCAGCAGUGGGGGAUAUUGCACAAUGGGGGAAACCCUGAUGCAGCAACGCCGCGUGAAGGAAGAAGGUCUUCGGAUUGUAAACUUUUGUCCUCAGUGAAGAUAAUGACGGUAGCUGAGGAGGAAGCUCCGGCUAACUACGUGCCAGCAGCCGCGGUAAUACGUAGGGAGCGAGCGUUGUCCGGAAUUACUGGGUGUAAAGGGAGCGCAGGCGGGUAUGCAAGUUGGGAGUGAAAUACAUGGGCUCAACCCAUGAACUGCUCUCAAAACUGUGUAUCUUGAGUAGUGCAGAGGUAGGCGGAAUUCCCGGUGUAGCGGUGGAAUGCGUAGAUAUCGGGAGGAACACCAGUGGCGAAGGCGGCCUACUGGGCACCAACUGACGCUGAGGCUCGAAAGUGUGGGUAGCAAACAGGAUUAGAUACCCUGGUAGUCCACACCGUAAACGAUGAUUACUAGGUGUUGGAGGAUAGACCCCUUCAGUGCCGCAGU